rnacentral:rRNA from 1 species
UAUGUGAUCGUCUCUCGCAUAUCAAUAAGCGGAGGAAAAGAAACUAACAAGGAUUCCCCUAGUAACGGCGAGUGAAGCGGGAAGAGCUCAAAUUUGAAAUCUUAAAGGGUUUCCCUUUACGAAUUGUAGUUUAAAGAAGUGUUUUCUGUUGAGGUUUUGGUAAAAGUUCUUUGGAAUAGGACAUCAUAGAGGGUGAGAAUCCCGUAUUUGACCUUUACUUUCAACUUUGUGAUACACUUUCAAAGAGUCGGAUUGUUUGGGAAUGCAGUCCAAAAUGGGUGGUAAAUUUCAUCUAAAGCUAAAUAUUGGCGAGAGACCGAUAGCGAACAAGUACCGUGAGGGAAAGAUGAAAAGAACUUUGAAAAGAGAGUUAAACAGUACGUGAAAUUGUCAAAAGGGAAGCGUUUGACACCAGUGUUGUUUUUCUGAAAAUCAAUUAAAGAACUGUUUAUGCUAAGUUGUUUAGACUUUAUCAGCUAACUGUUUAGUUUUGAGCUUUUCUUUAAUGCACUUUUCAGUUAACAAGUCAACAUCGAUUUCUUUUGCUGUAAAAAAGCUUGAGGAAGGUGGCUUGAGAUUCGUCUUAAGUGUUUAUAGCCUCUUGCCUAUGCAGUCGGAGAGAUUGAGGUCUGCAGCGUAGAUCCUUCGGGGCUAAAUGCAUUUGUGCUAAGUUAUAGCAUUUUAUAGACAACUUGUUGACUAUGAUUUGUCUUGUAGCUUACUCGCUUAUGUUAUUUUACCUACGCUUAGGAUGUUGAAUCUGUGCGAGACUAC